ensembl:misc_RNA Y_RNA Y RNA
GGCUGGUCCGAUGGCAGUGGGUUAUCAGAAUUUAUUAACAUUAGUGUCACUAAAGUUGGUAUACCACCCCCACCCCCACCCCCCCACCCUCCGCUGCUAAAUUUGACUGGCUUAAA